AUGAACGCUGGCGGCGUGCCUAAUACAUGCCAGUCGAGCGAACAGACGAGGAGCUUGCUCCUCUGACGUUAGCGGCGGACGGGUGAGUAACACGUGGAUAACCUACCUAUAAGACUGGGAUAACUUCGGGAAACCGGAGCUAAUACCGGAUAAUAUAUUGAACCGCAUGGUUCAAUAGUGAAAGACGGUUUUGCUGUCACUUAUAGAUGGAUCCGCGCCGCAUUAGCUAGUUGGUAAGGUAACGGCUUACCAAGGCAACGAUGCGUAGCCGACCUGAGAGGGUGAUCGGCCACACUGGAACUGAGACACGGUCCAGACUCCUACGGGAGGCAGCAGUAGGGAAUAUUCCGCAAUGGGCGAAAGCCUGACGGAGCAACGCCGCGUGAGUGAUGAAGGUCUUCGGAUCGUAAAACUCUGUUAUUAGGGAAGAACAAAUGUGUAAGUAACUAUGCACGUCUUGACGGUACCUAAUCAGAAAGCCACGGCUAACUACGUG
rnacentral:rRNA from 1 species